CAUCCCUGAGGGGAGAGGAUGGGGGAGGGAAAGCACCUCCUUCAAGCUCCAGGGAGGCAGGAGGAUUGGUUGAGGAGCAGCCCUGUGCAGAGGCAGGGGCAUGGCAGAGAACACCUUGGGAGGUGGUGUGAAGCUUGAGUCCAGGAGCCACCAGCCCUCCCUGCCAUUCAGUUUAGAGGUCACUUGGGUCGCUUCAGCCUUGACAGCUAUGGGGUCAAGUGUCUCCUCUACAAAAAUAAUUCCCAAAUAUGUCACUGCCUUCACCCCUGGGACUGGCUGGUGCACCCAAAUUGGCGUCACCACGCGGGCCCCCUUAUAAGCGUUACCUUGCUGGCUUAACCAGACUACCACAGUGGGAGGGAACUGACCUGAGACCGCCUGGAGAGAUGGGACCCCAAGGCCCCUUUUUGGUACUACUCACUUGUUGGGUCUGCGGGAUUCAAACACACUCCCUGUCUCUGGGUCUCAGUUUAACAGGGAGAUCACUACCUCCCAAACCUCAGUGCCGAGCGUCGGGCCAGGGCUGGUGCUGGGGCUCCUAUGUCUGUGUCUGGAGACGCAGCUGACUCCUGACAAGCCCAGACACGCAGCUGUUCCUGCAGAGGAAGCAGCAGCCGAGGGGGAAGGGCCGAGCGCUGACGGAGGGGGAAGAGAGACCAAAGGACACCAGAGUGACUGUGUGCAGUGAAGCAAGUGUGAGCAGAGCCCCAGUCUCCAGAUGAGUUCUGCUGCCAAUCCCAGCGGGCUGAGACACUGUGACUGCCCACCUGUCCCCGGGCCCUUUCCUUCCCCAAGAAGCUUCACACUGGAUGUUGCCAGCUGGUAGGAUAUGGAGAAGGCCAGGGGAGCUGUCUCCAUGACCCCAGUGGGGGCGAGAGACAGAAGCUGCAUCUGGAGCCUGCUGGCUGCAAUUUUGGGCAUUCAUAUUCACCUGAGCAUCCUGGAACAGCCCUGAACCUGGGCAUCAAAUUCCCCAGGCUUGAGAAUGCCACUCACUUUAGUUGCCAAAGGAGCCCUUGGGAGAAGAAGCUCCCUGAAGGCUCUAAUGCCAUCCUAAAGUAGAUUUUUGGAGGCUUCCAAAAGGUUCAAGAAGGAAAAGACCCAAAGGAAGUCCAGGACCCGGAGAAUGCAAUGGUGUCUCUCUUCCUAAUUAAGACACAUUCCUCUCAUUCAUGGAUGUGCUUCCUUGAGGCCUCGGGACAAACUGGUGCAUCAAACAAGGCCGUUGGUACCAAGUGGUGCAGGCUGCAUGAUUCCCUCCAUUAAGGAUCUGGGCGCGUUGUGAACAUUGUGAUCUGGCUGGGCAUGAAGGCUGCUAGUCUGCACAACCCUAGCUGCAUUGGAAGAGACAGCCCACCCUCAAAGGAUGUCACCUUCACCACAGCCUUACAGGGCAUCCAAGCCAAGUCUGUGCUUGUCACCAAAGACAACUGGGGACCCAAAGAGAUGAAAUGACUUUUGAUGGAGGAGUGGUAGGGAGGGACUAGAAUCUAGUUUUUUCUUCUUCUUUUUAAAAUAGGUCUUGCUAUGUUGCCCAGGCAGGUCUCAAACAAUUUAAGCAAUCCUCCUGCCUUGGCCUCCCAAAGUGCUGGAUUACAGGCAUGAGGUACCAUGCCUGGCCUUUUUACUUAUUAUUUUAUUUUUUUAGAGAUGGGAUCUUGCUCUGUUGCCCAGGCUGGAGUACAGUGGCGUGAUUUUGGUUCACUGCAGCCUCAACUUCCUGGGCUCAAACAAUCCUCCCAUUUCAGCCUGCUGAGUAGCUGAAACUACAGGUGUGUGACACUAUGCCUGGCAAAUUUAAUAUUUUUUUUUUAAUAGAUGGGGGUCUCACUUUUUUGCCCAAGCUGGUCUUGAACUCCUGAGCUCAAGCGAUCCUCCUGCUCAGCCUCCCAAAGUGCUGGGAUUAUAGGCAUGAGCCAGCCACUGAGCCUGGCCCCAAAAUCUACCAUCCUUUAUCAUGAUGUGGUUUUUGAGAUGCUGACUUCCAGCUCACAUCGUAACACCCCAGAGGAGUCUUUGGGAAGAAACAGCUGUCAGUGUGGGGUCCCAGAAACAUGGCAUUAAUAUGGGUGGGAAGGUCUGAUAAACCCUCAAUCGAGUAAAGCCUAGGACUGGGUCUUUAAAUCAGCCAAGGCCUGCCUAGAGGCAUCUGCCCAGUUUCUGCUCUCUAACUAGGCUCCUUUAGGAAGGAUAAAUGUUUGAGAUGUCUCUAAGAAUCACAUGCCACAUUUUGCUCCUAGUUCCUUAUGAAUAGCCCCAGGCAAACCCUCCAAGAUAGAAAUGUAGACGGCCUACAGAGUAAAAGCCUGCUUGCUGAGAAGCAAACCAGGCCAAAAUGCAGCAAUGGGCAAAUAGUUGAAAAUGCUCUCCUGGAUCUGGAACUCAAACUGUCAGGGCUGGCCAAAGGCAGAGGAAAGUCAGCCUGAUGAGAAAGAACAGCAGGAAAAGAAAUCAAGGCCUCCAUGGGAGAAGGAUGGAGGUAUCUGUUAACUGUUGAGUAAUACUUCUUUACAUGAUCUCAUUGGUUCUUUCCGACAAUGCUGUGAUUAAUAGACCAUUAUGACUGAUGAGGAAAUUUGGCUGGGCGAGGUGGCUCACGCCUGUAAUCCCAGCACUUUGGGAGGCUGAAGCAGGUGGAUCACCUGAGGUCAGGUGUUUGAAACCAGCUUGGCCAACAUGGUGAAAUCUUGUCUCUACGAAAAAUACAAAAAUUAGCCGGGCAUGGUGGUGGGCACCUGUAAUCCAAGCUACUUGGGAGGCUUGAGGCAGGAGAAUCGGUUGAACCUGGGAGGCAGAGGUUGCAGUGAGCUGAGAUCGUGCCAUUGCAUACUAGCCUGGCAACAAGAGCAAAACUCCAUCUCAAAAAAAAAAAGACCUAUGAGGAAAUUCAAGUUUCUGAGACACCAUUCCACUUUCUUUGGGUAUCUCUGCACCUGAGACGUCCUGCAAAAAUUUUAAUCCCACUUCAUAUAAAAGCCAUGUUUUGGGAACCUCAAGGUGACAGCCCUUUCUUCCAAAGACCCCUCUGGUGUGAUAUGUGAGCCAGAAUUUUGCAUUUUUGCUUGGGAGGAGUGAUGCUAAUCCUGUAGAAAAGCAUACAACCAUCCUUGCCACUGUUCCACACAGUUGUACAUCUGAUGAAGCUAAUAUCUUAUUUGAUCCUUUACAUCUGCUCUACCCACUUACAUGCAGUGACUGUGAGUUUGUUACCAUAAAGCAUUAUGAACAACAGAGAAUAAACGUUGUGAUGGCAUCUGAAAAUGUCAAAUCUACCACUCUUUCAUGUUUCAAUAUGCCCCUCAAUGUGCCUCCAUAGAAUGAAAUUAACUCUUAGAUGCAAAAGAGAAUGAGUUCUCUUGUGUUUAAUUUUCAUGGAAUACUCCUUUUCCUUAAAAUGGGGGGUGGCGUGAGACAACAGAGAACAGAAUUCCCCAAAAGGUCCAAUAGGCCCAAGCAACCCCUGCUUCCUAACAUGGUUCUAUUAGGACAGACAAGGCCUGGAACACUGGUAAACAGAAUAGAGGUAAGAAUAUUGUGCAUUUAACAGGCCUUGCAGGCAGACAGUUUUUCUCUUUUUAUCACAUUACAAAGUAGAUACCAUACCUGGAUCAUUUGUUUAACCACUGCUUGUAAUAUGCAGCCACAGUACUUGAGCACGUCACCAUUUCCGUGUCUGCUUUCCUUGAUUAGCCCAGUCUCCCUGAGCGUCACAGUCAUCUUCAGAUACUUGGCAUCUAGGAACCUCAAAAGUCAGCUACUGAGUACCUAGCAGGGCCUCGUUUGGUGACCCUUCACUGGUGUAACCCUGGUGUUACUCUUUUGACAGUAAGGAAACUGUGAGUGAAAGGUCACAAAACUAGGAAACAGUAGACCCAGGAUUCAAACCCACGUCUCCUGACUGGACAGGCAGCCCCUGCCCCACACACCUGCAGAAGCCUCUAGUGUUCAGUUAGUGCUGGCGCCAACCACUCAGGCCGCACCUUGUCUCAGGUGGCCCUGUUUACCAAUGGGCAAGGCCGCACCUGUGGUUAGGUCUUCGGGUCAUCUGAAAGCCGUAACACUCUAAAAAGGGGGUUUCUAUGAAGAUCAAUGGUGAAUUUAUGGGCCAAAUACUUUGAAAAAAUGAUCAGAUGUGGUGCAAAUGCAAGCUAGGCAUAACAAGUAAAUGGUUAUGGCUUUUUCUAGGAAAAAAUCAGGAAAUAGCCCUGCCACAUGAAUACAGACUAAUGGAGAUGAAAUAUUUCCUUUAAGCUUUUACUGUAGCAGUUAAGUUCAAAAUACCUAUAGUUACUGCAUGAAUCAGGAAGGAAAGACUAGUGGGGUGGGCCUGCUGGCAGGUCAUCAUGUGCAGGUUUAUUGCAACUGGCUAAGAAUGAAUAAAGCUCUGUGCUCCUGGAAAACAGGUGUUUGUGAAGCCACCAGGGCUGCUCUGAGGUUUGUUUUUUGAGACAAGGUCUCACUCUGUCACCCAGAAUGGAGUGAAAUUAUGCAAUCAUGGGUAAUUUCCUGGGCUCAGGUGAUCCUCCCACAUCAGCUUCCCUAGUAGUUGGGACUACAGGUCCAUGCCACCGGCCUGGCUGAUUUUUUAUUUUUAUUUUGGUAGAGAUGGGUUCUUGCUAUGUUGCCUGGGCUGGUCUUAAACUUCUGGCCUCAAGUGAUCUUCCCCCUCCCUUCCCAAAGUGCUGGGAUUACAGGCAUGAGCCACCGGGCCCAGCCUGAGUUCCUCUUGGGCAGUUGUUCCCAAUGGGAGGAUCAGAAGCACCUGCUAAUUGUUUGCCCAUAUUCCCCAACAGAGUCUGAUAAUCUUUUUUUGAGACACAGUCUCUCUCUGUUGCCCAGGCUGGAGUGUAGAGGGGCGAUC